rnacentral:tRNA from 1 species
UGUAUUUUAGUAUAAGAGGUAUUAAAGUUUUUGAAUCUUUAGGAAAUAGUUUAAUUCUAUUAAAUACAA